AAUUUUGAUGAGGAAAUAGAAAGAAUAAUUGAUUUCUCGGAGCGCGAGGUAAUGAUUAAGAGGGACAGACGGGGGCAUUCGUACUGUGCCGUUAGAGGUGAAAUUCUUGUAUCGGCGCAAGACGAACAUUUGCCAAAGAAUGUUUUCUUU
rnacentral:ncRNA from 1 species